CUGCAGCCAAUUAAGCCGACUGUGCUCUUUCCCCACAGGGGCCCAGUAUGCAAUGGCCGCACGCAGUAGCCUCCUUGGUAGUGUAUGAAGCCUGUUGAUUGUAUGGGUUGCCCUAAGGGGCCUUGGGGACAGCC
ensembl:snoRNA SNORA70 Small nucleolar RNA SNORA70